GUCAGUCGUUCGUCAUUAAGGGGUUAAAGUCGUCACCGUUCAGAUUGUGUUGUCAUGCACAAGCAGCAAGACGUUCCUGUAUGUCAGUUUUCCAGCUUCUUCACUGACAAAAACACAACAAACCGCUCUCUGGAAUCCAGAAUGCUUUCACGCAUGAUGGUGGUAGAGCUUCUUUGCUCUCCUUGAUCCUAUGGUAACUCUACCUCCACUUUCUGCAACAUCUGUGUUUUCUUUCUCUAAAAAAAAUUCUCUCCUGUCUUGGGGUCUGCAUCGUGUCGGGCACAAAUGUUCUUCUGCAGCACUUAGAGGUGGAUUGGCUCCAUAUAAAUAUGAUCACAUGAAGCAACUAAGCAAUUUCUAGUGAUUUACCAUAACAUUUUAACUUUAAAAUAACACCUAAGAAAUAAAGUAACAGGACAGAUUGAGU